CUUACCUGAUUCCAUUUCCCAAUCGUGCCGCCUCUCUCCCCAAUCUCCUCUUCGUCGUCGACCAUCGACACAAUCACCGCCGACCACCAGUGUUAUCACUGUCGGGCGUCGAGGGUGCUGCCAGUCACUCCUAGCCAUUAUUGCCCUUUCCUUACCUCACUUGUGCCCUAGCUUCCCAAUGGCACAACCGGCGCCGCCACCCGAUCCCGCCGGCACUAUCGAGCCACCGUCAUCUCUUCGUUGUUGGUCCUGAUCCCCUCUCAUCGAGCCACCUUCUCACCAGGGUGCCCCUGCGCGCGACAGUCACCGGGUCAGCUCUGUAUGCGACGACGAUCGGACAGUCCUUGUGCGCGACAACCGCUAAGAUGUUUCUAUGUGACUCUUUUCUUGUGUCGGCGGUGAGUAACAUCUCCGCCACUACCAGGCGUCUUUGCCAGAAGUCGAGCACAGUGGCCACUGCACUCCUUCACACCCCGAGCCUUCUCCACCGAGCCUUUUCCAUUGAACCUUCUUUACUGAUCACUGGAUUGCCCUACUGUUAUACCUGAGUCAAAUCUUUGUCUUGAGGGUGUUUGAUCUGUUGGAUAGCAGCUUCACAAUCCUUCGGCCAUAAAUUCCAACAACCAUUGCUCCGGUCGUGAGUCAACGGAAGAGCGUACGGAUUUAGUUUUUCUUUCGCCAGGGAGUAGGUAGAGGAUUUAUGGAGUCGCUUGGAGAUCCUGUCCGCCAGUCCCAUGUCACAUUAUUGCUUCCACUCACAUUAUUGGUUUUAGACUUGUACAUGUGAUAUGUAUCUGUUGUAUGGAGUUUAGCCUUGUGUUUCCUAUUUUUAUUUUGAUGUUGUUGUGUCAAGGCGGACCGACUCGUAGUUAGUUGUUUUUGUGGUUUUUCUUUCAUUUUUUUAUAUAUUCUGCUGUGUUUUGUUUCAGUCGUGUGGGCUAUGUAUCAACUGUGUGGUUGUAUUUACUUCCAAUCAUGUGGACUGCUUAUAAACUGCGUGGUUGUGUUUAUUUCCAACCAUGUGGGCUA